GACGAACGCUGGCGGCGUGCUUAACACAUGCGAGUCGAACGGAAAGGCCCUGCUUUUGUGGGGUGCUCGAGUGGCGAACGGGUGAGUAACACGUGAGUAACCUGCCCUUGACUUUGGGAUAACUUCAGGAAACUGGGGCUAAUACCGGAUAGGAGCUCCUGCUGCAUGGUGGGGGUUGGAAAGUUUCGGCGGUUGGGGAUGGACUCGCGGCUUAUCAGCUUGUUGGUGGGGUAGUGGCUUACCAAGGCUUUGACGGGUAGCCGGCCUGAGAGGGUGACCGGCCACAUUGGGACUGAGAUACGGCCCAGACUCCUACGGGAGGCAGCAGUGGGGAAUAUUGCACAAUGGGCGGAAGCCUGAUGCAGCAACGCCGCGUGCGGGAUGACGGCCUUCGGGUUGUAAACCGCUUUCGCCUGUGACGAAGCGUGAGUGACGAUAAUGGGUAAAGAAGCACCGGCUAACUACGUG
rnacentral:rRNA from 1 species